rnacentral:rRNA from 1 species
CCUACGGGAGGCAGCAGUGAGGAAUAUUGGUCAAUGGACGAGAGUCUGAACCAGCCAAGUAGCGUGAAGGAUGACUGCCCUAUGGGUUGUAAACUUCUUUUAUAUGGGAAUAAAAUGUUCCACGUGUGGGAGUUUGUAUGUACCAUAUGAAUAAGGAUCGGCUAACUCCGUGCCAGCAGCCGCGGUAAUACGGAGGAUCCGAGCGUUAUCCGGAUUUAUUGGGUUUAAAGGGAGCGUAGGUGGAUUGUUAAGUCAGUUGUGAAAGUUUGCGGCUCAACCGUAAAAUUGCAGUUGAAACUGGCAGUCUUGAGUACAGUAGAGGUGGGCGGAAUUCGUGGUGUAGCGGUGAAAUGCUUAGAUAUCACGAAGAACUCCGAUUGCGAAGGCAGCUCACUGGACUGCAACUGACACUGAGGCUCGAAAGUGUGGGCAUCAAACAGGAUUAGAUACCCCAGUAGUC